ensembl:lncRNA
UAAAAAGGAAAAUAAACAUGUAUAUUAAUAAUAUACAUAUAAUAUCAAAUGAAACAGGACCACCAGUGGUUAAAAUAGGAGAGAAUAUUUUGUUUUUAUUUGUUGUGAAGCUAUAAAACAUUGUUGUUGAGUCUUCUUCGUGCUGGUGAAAUAUUUACAACUCUGGUGGACAGUACAGUGUCUGAGAUUAAAAUUCACAGUUUUCGGGGGAGAAAAGAGUUGAGGAGAGGAAAACAUUUAAAGCAACACCCAAAUCACAAAGUGCAAUAAAUACCUGGUGGGUAUAUCUGGCGCCACCUAUUGGCCGCAGCCACCAGACACACGCGAGGGACUCGACAGGAAGAGAAUCACAGGACAACUUCAAUUAAGGUUAACCGCGUGUGAGUCAUCGACUACGCGUCGACCGGAGAAGUCACGUGACUAAACAAGGUUCUCAGUGGUUUAAAAAACAAAAACACAAACAAAUUACAUACAAAAAGAUAUACGAUGGCCUACAUUCAUUUCUGAUCGAACAUUCCGUCAAUCAAGACAUAUUUUAAUUGAUCGUAACACAUCGCAUAUAUUGCUGAUAACGAACGAGAUCAACGUUGGAAUGGUGCGCCUCAAAUCAAAGCCUACUUUACGACGACACUACGACAGAAAAACAAGGAGUAACGCGCAAAGGUAAACCUUUGCAUGAGAACGACUAAACGAAAGGUAAAAUCAGGUACUUCAGAAGUGAUACUUAUUCCUUAUGGUUUACUGAUAAUCUACACUGUAGCUCGCCCUCUCUCUCACACACGGGGCUCUCUCUCCCCCUCGCACGCGCACACACACCCAGACCUCUCCUCCUCCCACCCCCCUCCUCCUCCCUACUCCUUCCGCACGUCCGCUCCACCUGUCACCUGCACUGUCAGAUACAGGAAGUGACAUCAUAACCCUACACACGCUCACUCUCUCUCUCCAGACAGGAAGGGAGACGCUCCUGGGAUCACAUCGUUGUCUUCCAAACGGACGGCUCCAUGCCGCCGUUUCCACGGCAACCGUUCAUCUGGAGGGACCUGGGUGGAGGCAAGGAGGACCGCGCCCAGGUCCAGGUGGAGCGUUGAACCCGCGCGCUGUUACGCGUUGCCUCGCUCAAGUCAUAAAUUAACUCAGGGAAUAGAACCGCUGGCGAGCCGGCAAGUACCUCUUGGAGGUGGCUGGUGGUUCUGGUCAAGGACGCCCGGCUGACCGGUUCUACGGUAACCCCUGCAGACCGCUGGCUGCUUCCUCAUAAAGAAAACACCUGAAGCUUUCAGCGGUACACAACCAACCAAAGGUCAGAGAGAGAGAAGGGUAGAGACAGUGAGCGAGCGCGAAAGGGAGAGUGAGAGAAUCAACCAAAGGUCAGGACUCUCCUCUGAUGCAUCAUAUACCAGAGAGAGAGAAAGAGGGGGGGGGGGGAGACAGACCCUGACAUGGUCAGUCUAUGAGGGUCAUCCAUUCAUCUCCUGGUAGAGCAGUAAAUACUGACCUCUCCUUUUACCCGGAGAGCUCUGAGAAGCCAGUUAAGGCGGUAAACUGGCGUGAUCUUAUUUCCUUCAUUUGUUCGAGAGACAGCUAAUCACUGCUUCCCUCGAGUAACUUAUCUCGUGUGUGUGUGUGUGUGUGUGUGCGAUUGUGUUACAGUGUCUGUGUGCAUGCGUGAGUGUGUGUUACAGUGUGUGUGUGUGUGUGUGUGUGUGUGUGUUACAGUGUGCACAUCAUUUAACAACAAACAACAUUUCAUGAGCAGCUGUAACGACAGGUGGUCCUCUUCAGAACCUCAGCACUGAUCAAGAAGAUCUGGACAUGUUCUUCAGAGUACAGCAUAGAUAGAAGAGUACAACAGUAUGAGUAGUAGAGUACCACAGAACCAGUGCUGGAGUAGUACAGUACCACAGUACCAGUACUAGAGUAGUACAGUACCACAGUAACAGUACUACCGAGAUCGUACCAGGGUUCUGGUGCAUGAGAAACCAAAGGAUGUCACCUUGAUGUAAGCUGCUGGAUUCUGUCAGCGCAUCGACUUCCCAUUCUCUCCUGAUCCAGUCCUAUCCAGUCUUAUCCAGACCUGAUCCAGUCUCGAUCCAGUCCUGAUCCAGUCCUAACCAGAUCUGAUCCAGUCCUUACUGUCCUAAAGAGUAUUGCUGGUGUGUUUCAGAGCUCCAACGUCCCCACUCUGAAGUUGAGGUGUGUUUCAGAGCUCCAACGUCCCCACUAUGAAGGUGAGGUGUGUUUCAGAGUUCCCCUCUGAAGGUGAGGUGUGUUUCAGAGCUCAAACGUCCCCACUAUGUAGGUGAGGUGUGUUUCAGAGUUCCCCUCUGAAGGGGAGGUGUGUUUCCAGCCCCUUUGGGUGGGUUGUGCUGUACGUAGGAGGUCCCCUUGUGACGGAUCUGUUCCUUGUGGAGGAACCUCCGCCGUGCUCGUACGCGUGUGUGCUUAAAGUCCUGAUCCAGCUGGAAUGCUAAUGAAACCUGGGGGAAGCAGCAUGAAGGCCCAGCUUCUGGUCCAACCUAAAGCUAGAACUGGACUGGAUUCAAACUAAAGCUAGGAAAAGCGUCGGGGGCUCGGAGAGACCUCUGUCGUCGGCCGGCAGAGUUGGGUUCCUUGACGUGGCAGCUCGGACGCUGCCCGGUUCUCCUGGUCCGGCUCGGGGGAAGGGGGGGGGGGGGUCCUCACACGUCAUGGGAGGGGAGGUCAGGGAUGGAGCUCCGUGCUCUGGUGAGGAACGCCAUCUUAUCUCUGAGGAGAGAACACCCGUCAGAACAACUGAUGGCUUCUGUAACACUAGCAGAUAUAGCUACUGUUAGCUUCUGUAUCAAUAGCAGAUAUAGCUACUGUUAGCUUCUGUAACACUAGCAGAUAUAGCUACUGUUAGCUU